AGCAGCCGCGGUAAUUCCAGCUCCAAUAGCGUAUAUUAAAGUUGUUGCAGUUAAAAAGCUCGUAGUUGAAUUUCGGGGUUAGUAGGUUGGUCAUGCCUUUGGUAUGCACUGGUGUCACUGGUUUCUCCCUUCUGAAGAUCCGUGAUGUCAUUAAUUUGGUGUCGCGGGGAAUCAGGACUGUUACUUUGAAAAAAUUAGAGUGUUUAAAGCAGGCUCACGCUUGAAUACAUUAGCAUGGAAUAAUGAAAUAGGACGUUUGACCCUAUUUUGUUGGUUUCUAGGAUCGACGUAAUGAUUAAUAGGGAUAGUUGGGGGCAUUAGUAUUCAAUUGUCAGAGGUGAAAUUCUUGGAUUUAUUGAAGACUAACUACUGCGAAAGCAUUUGCCAAGGAUGUUUUCAUUAAUCAAGAACGAAAGUUAGGGGAUCGAAGACGAUCAGAUACCGUCGUAGUCUUAACCAUAAACUAUGCCGACUAGGGAUCGGAUGAUGUUAAUUUUUAAUGACUCAUUCGGCGCCUUAA
rnacentral:rRNA from 1 species